rnacentral:rRNA from 1 species
ACGAACGCUGGCGGCGUGCUUAACACAUGCCAGUCGAACGGAAAGGCCCUGCUUGCAGGGUACUCGAGUGGCGAACGGGUGAGUAACACGUGGGUGAUCUGCCCUGCACUUCGGGAUAAGCCUGGGAAACUGGGUCUAAUACCGGAUAUGACCUUCCAUGUAGUGUGGGGGGUGGAAAGAUUUAUCGGUGUGGGAUGAGCCCGCGGCCUAUCAGCUUGUUGGUGGGGUAAUGGCCUACCAAGGCGUCGACGGGUAGCCGGCCUGAGAGGGUGGACGGCCACAUUGGGACUGAGAUACGGCCCAGACUCCUACGGGAGGCAGCAGUGGGGAAUAUUGCACAAUGGGCGGAAGCCUGAUGCAGCGACGCCGCGUGGGGGAUGACGGCCUUCGGGUUGUAAACCUCUUUCGACAGGGACGAAGCUUCGGUGACGGUACCUGUAUAAGAAGCACCGGCUAACUACGUG